rnacentral:rRNA from 1 species
UACGUAGGGUGCGAGCGUUAAUCGGAAUUACUGGGCGUAAAGCGUGCGCAGGCGGUUGUGCAAGACAGAUGUGAAAUCCCCGGGCUUAACCUGGGAACUGCAUUUGUGACUGCACGGCUGGAGUGCGGCAGAGGGGGAUGGAAUUCCGCGUGUAGCAGUGAAAUGCGUAGAUAUGCGGAGGAACACCGAUGGCGAAGGCAAUCCCCUGGGCCUGCACUGACGCUCAUGCACGAAAACGUGGGGAGCAAACAGG